rnacentral:rRNA from 1 species
CAAGUCGAGUGCGCAGCUUUCUGUAGCAAUACAGGGAGUGGGCGCACGGCGCACGGGUGAGUAACACGUGGGUAACCUGCCCUUGGAUGGGGAAUAACCCCGCGAAAGCGGGGCUAAUACCGCAUAACAUUCCGGAAACCUUGGUUUCCGGACUCAAAGCCGUAAGGCGUCCGAGGAGUGGCCCGCGUACGAUUAGCUAGUUGGCGAGGUAAUGGCUCACCAAGGCUUUGAUCGUUAGCCGGUCUGAGAGGAUGGCCGGCCACACUGGAACUGAGACACGGUCCAGACUCCUACGGGAGGCAGCAGUGGGGAAUAUUGCGCAAUGGGCGAAAGCCUGACGCAGCGACGCCGCGUGGGGGAUGACGCUUUUCGGAGUGUAAACCCCUUUCGAUCGGGACGAAUGCCUCGCAAGAGGAGUGACGGUACCGGUAGAAGAAGCCCCGGCUAACUACGUGCCAGCAGCCGCGGUAAUACGUAGGGGGCCAGCGUUGCUCGGAAUAACUGGGCGUAAAGGGUUCGUAGGCGGUGCGGCAAGUUGGGAGUGAAAUCUCUGGGCUUAACCCAGAGACUGCUUUCAAAACUGCCGUGCUAGAGUGCGGGAGAGGCCAGUGGAAUUGCAGGUGUAGCGGUGAAAUGCGUAGAUAUCUGCAGGAACACCCGUGGCGAAGGCGGCUGGCUGGACCGCAACUGACGCUGAGGAACGAAAGCUAGGGGAGCAAACAGGAUUAGAUACCCUGGUAGUCCUAGCCCUAAACGAUCAGAACUUGGGGUGCAUCCCGUUGGGGGUGCGUCUCGUAGCUAACGCGUUAAGUUCUGCGCCUGGGGAGUACGGUCGCAAGACUGAAACUCAAGGAAUUGACGGGGGCCCGCACAAGCGGUGGAACAUGUGGUUCAAUUCGACGCACCGCGAA